AAGGAUCAUUACCGAGUGAGGGUCUUUAAUGGCCCAACCUCCCAACCCCUUGAAUAUCACCAAGUGUUUUAUUGUUGCUUCGGUGGGUCAAAUGUGCCCACCGACGCCCAACAUAAAUCUUAGUAAUAGUGUUGUCUGAGUUAUUGAAAAUAAUAAAAACUUUCAACAACGGAUCUCUUGGUUCCC
rnacentral:misc_RNA from 1 species